rnacentral:misc_RNA from 1 species
GUAGAUCCCUCUUCUUUCUUCACAGCAAAUGGAUUAGAGCAUUGAUCUCCUGUUCUCAUUUUCUCUGCGAUAACAAAUCAAUGGGAAAUCACAUACAGAAUUUCCUGAACAAAAUCUCCAUAGCUUGUGCAUCCAUAGCCACAAUCACUCUUCUCCUCCUUUAUCUCCAAACCCCAGAAACUUGCAUUCCACCAAACGCCCCAAUCACAAAACCCCACGUCAAAUUCCCCUCCUCCACCUGCGAUCCUUCUCUGAAUCACCCCUACCUCUCUCUCGCCAAGAAAAACCAGCGCCUUUGGUCCUCCAAGUCCUGGCUCUCUCAGCUAUCCUCCUUCACCGCUUUCUUUUCACAGCUCCAACACCUCAAUCUCUUGCAUAACCACUCCAGAGUCCUCUGUGUCUCCGCCGGUGCUGGCCACGAAGUUAUGGCGCUGAAUAAUAUGGGUGUCAG